CCUGCGGAAUACCAGUAAUUAUUGUUCGUGGUUCAGACAGUUUGCCAUUAACUUGACAAUACUGGGUACGAUUAGACAGAUAGGACCUAAACCAGUCAUGCGCCCUUCCUCUCACUCCAUACAAAUAUAAUUUUUUUAAUAAAAUACCAUGGUCAACGGUAUCAAAUGCUUUUUUUAGAUCUAAAAAGACAACUCCAUUGAUUAACCCUUCAUCCAUAUUUUGAUACCAAUGGUUUGUCAUUUUUAACAAUGCAGUAACAGUGGAGUGGAGAGGUCUAAAUCCAUGUUGUGCAUUAGUUAGUAUGUUUGCCCGUUGUAAAUAGGAAUAGACCUGGUUAUGUACGAGUUUCUCCAUUGUUUUGGCAAUUACCGAAAUAAUAGAUAUAGGUCGAAAAUUAUCCAUAUUAGAUUUAGGGCCACUUUUGUAAAUUGGGGUGACUCUUGCAUUUUUCCACUCACAUGGAAAUAUGCCGGUGGAUAUAGACCUAUUAAAUAUUGUUGUCAGCGAUUUAGCAAUGUAAGGUGAGGCCAGUUUAAUAAGUUUUGCUGGUAAUCCAUCUAGGCCCGAUGCCUUAGUAGAUGAUAAUGAUGAUAAUAACUGGCAAACUUCCUGUUCAGUUAUUUCACAGAAAAUAAAUUCCUGCAUUGAUUCACUGAUAUAACUCUCUGGUGGAAUAGAGCAACUUGAGAUGUUUUGGGAAAGAAUGAAACCAAGAUCAGUGAAAUGAUUAUUAAAUGCAUUAGGUAUGCCUGGAAUAUUAACC